AGGAGGAGGCCAUGACUGUGGAGAAGAGAGUGUGAGAAUUUUGAGGAGUGAUGAUGAAGAAGAAGAUAAAAGGGAGAGAGAGAGAAGUGGACACGUAAGGGACGUGUGACCGUUAGGAUGAGAGUAAUUACGGAAAUGCCAUCGUCGGUGGUGGGGGAGUUUUUGAAAAGAGUGUGUGUGGGAAAAACACAGCUGGAGACACGAUUGAGACUUUCUUCAUUGGCUCUGUUGUGUUGUGUUGGC
rnacentral:lncRNA from 1 species